UACGGGGGGGGCAAGCGUUGUUCGGAAUUACUGGGCGUAAAGGGCUCGUAGGCGGCCAACUAAGUCGGACGUGAAAUCCCUCGGCUUAACCGGGGAACUGCGUCCGAUACUGGAUGGCUUGAGUUCGGGAGAGGGAUGCGGAAUUCCAGGUGUAGCGGUGAAAUGCGUAGAUAUCUGGAGGAACACCGGUGGCGAAGGCGGCAUCCUGGACCGACACUGACGCUGAGGAGCGAAAGCCAGGGGAGUAAACAGG
rnacentral:rRNA from 1 species